rnacentral:rRNA from 1 species
UGGGGAAUAUUGCACAAUGGAGGGAACUCUGAUGCAGCGACGCCGCGUGAACGAAGAAGGCUUUCGAGUCGUAAAGUUCUUUUAUAUGGGAAGAUAAUGACGGUACCAUAAGAAGAAGCCCCGGCUAACUACGUGCCAGCAGCCGCGGUAAUACGUAGGGGGCUAGCGUUGUCCGGAAUCACUGGGCGUAAAGGGUUCGCAGGCGGAAAUGCAAGUCAGGUGUAAAAGGCAGUAGCUUAACUACUGUAAGCAUUUGAAACUGCAUAUCUUGAGAAGAGUAGAGGUAAGUGGAAUUUUAAGUGUAGCGGUGAAAUGCGUAGAUAUUAAAAAGAAUACCGGUGGCGAAGGCGACUUACUGGGCUCAUUCUGACGCUGAGGAACGAAAGCGUGGGUAGCAAACAGG